GGGGCUGUAACUUAGUGUAGAGCACUUACCUAGCAUGCAUGAGGCACUGGGUUCAAUCCCCAGCACCACA
rnacentral:tRNA from 1 species